rnacentral:rRNA from 1 species
UACGGAGGGAGCUAGCGUUGUUCGGAAUUACUGGGCGUAAAGCGCACGUAGGCGGCUGUUCAAGUCAGAGGUGAAAGCCCGGAGCUCAACUCCGGAACUGCCUUUGAUACUGGCAAUCUCGAGUCCGGAAGAGGUUAGUGGAAUUCCCAGUGUAGAGGUGAAAUUCGUAGAUAUUGGGAAGAACACCAGUGGCGAAGGCGGCUAACUGGUCCGGUACUGACGCUGAGGUGCGAAAGCGUGGGGAGCAAACAGG